rnacentral:rRNA from 1 species
AUUGAACGCUGGCGGCAGGCCUAAUACAUGCAAGUCGAGCGAAGCGGGGACGGGUGAGUAACACGUGGAUAACCUCCUAUAAGACUGGGAUAACUUCGGGAAACCGGAGCUAAACCGGAUACUUAUCGAUGGAUCCGCGCUGCAUUAGCUAGUUGGUAAGGUAACGGCUUACCAAGGCAACGAUGCAUAGCCGACCUGAGAGGUGGAUAGGACGCAUUGUAACUGAUCUGCGGUCGAGACUCAUACGGGAGGCAGCAGGAGGGUGGCUUCCGCAAUUGGCGAAAUCCUGACUGAGCAACGUCACUUGAGUUAUUAAGUGCUUCGUAUCGUAAAACUCUGUUAUUAGCGAAGCGGUACCUAAGCAGAAAGCCACGUCUCACUACGUGCCAGCAGCCGCGGUAAUAC